GAACAAAGUGCCUUAUUUGGGACUUAGGAAUUACAAUUCGGGAGACACAGACUCAGGCUGCCUCCAGGUUCACAGCUGGCAUCAGCACACUGACUGGAGAGUCUUGAGGUCCCAGCUAAGUCCACAGCACCAACUCUGCUGUGACAGUGGGAAGAACUGGAAUUUCAAACUGGUGAGUAAUCUACAAGUGUUUUCACUACACAUGCUCAGCAGAAAGGAAUGUGGACUUGAAGUACAAUCACAGAGCCCUUGCCAUCCUGUCC
rnacentral:lncRNA from 1 species